rnacentral:rRNA from 1 species
UACAUGUGGGGCAAGCGUUGUUCGGAAUUACUGGGCAUAAAGGGUGCGUAGGCGGUUUGUUAAGUCACUGGUGAAAGUUUUCGGCCCAACCGGAAAAUUGCCUGUGAUACUGGCGAACUUGAGUGCGUGAGGGGUGGGGGGAACGAGCAGUGUAGCGGUGAAAUGCGUAGAUAUCAGGAGGAACACCUGCGGUGUAGACGGCUUACUGGACCAUAACUGACGCUGAGGCACGAAAGCGUGGGUAGCAAACAGG